rnacentral:rRNA from 1 species
ACGCUCGACACCUACGGGAGCAGCAGUCGGGAAUAUUGCGCAAUGGAGGAAACUCUGACGCAGUGACGCCGCGUGCAGGAAGAAGGUUUUCGGAUUGUAAACUGCUUUAGACAGGGAAGAACAAAUGACAGUACCUGUAGAAUAAGCUCCGGCUAACUACGUGUCAGCAGCCGCGGUAAUCUGAGCGGGCUGGCAAGGC